rnacentral:rRNA from 1 species
UAGAGUUUGAUCCUGGCUCAGAUUGAACGCUGGCGGCAGGCUUAACACAUGCAAGUCGAGCGGAGUGAUAGUGCUUGCACUAUCACUUAGCGGCGGACGGGUGAGUAAUGCUUAGGAAUCUGCCUAUUAGUGGGGGACAACAUUUCGAAAGGAAUGCUAAUACCGCAUACGUCCUACGGGAGAAAGCAGGGGAUCUUCGGACCUUGCGCUAAUAGAUAAGCCUAAGUCGGAUUAGCUAGUUGGUGGGGUAAAGGCCUACCAAGGCGACGAUCUGUAGCGGGUCUGAGAGGAUGAUCCGCCACACUGGGACUGAGACACGGCCCANACUCCUACGGGAGGCAGCAGUGGGGAAUAUUGGACAAUGGGCGCAAGCCUGAUCCAGCCAUGCCGCGUGUGUGAAGAAGGCCUUAUGGUUGUAAAGCACUUUAAGCGAGGAGGAGGCUACUGAAGUUAAUACCUUCAGAUAGUGGACGUUACUCGCAGUAUAAGCACCGGCUAACUCUGUCCCAGGAGCCGCGGUAAUACAGAGGGUGCAAGCGUUAAUCGGAUUUACUGGGCGUAAAGCGCGCGUAGGCGGCUAAUUAAGUCAAAUGUGAAAUCCCCGAGCUUAACUUGGGAAUUGCAUUCGAUACUGGUUAGCUAGAGUGUGGGAGAGGAUGGUAGAAUUCCAGGUGUAGCGGUGAAAUGCGUAGAGAUCUGGAGGAAUACCGAUGGCGAAGGCAGCCAUCUGGCCUAACACUGACGCUGAGGUGCGAAAGCAUGGGGAGCAAACAGGAUUAGAUACCCUGGUAGUCCAUGCCGUAAACGAUGACUACUAGCCAUUGGGGCCUUUGAGGCUUUAGUGGCGCAGCUAACGCGAUAUGUAGACCGCCUGGGGAGUACGGUCGCAAGACUAAAACUCAAAUGAAUUGACGGGGGCCCGCACAAGCGGUGGAGCAUGUGGUUUAAUUCGAUGCAACGCGAAGAACCUUACCUGGCCUUGACAUAGUAAGAACUUUCCAGAGAUGGAUUGGUGCCUUCGGGACCUAACAUACAGGUGGUGCAUGGCUGUCGUCAGCUCGUGUCGUGAGAAGUUGGGUUAAGUCCCGCAACGAGCGCAACCCUUUUCCUUAUUUGCCAGCGAGUAAUGUCGGGAACUUUAAGGAUACUGCCAGUGACAAACUGAAGGAAGGCGGGCACGACGUCAAGUCAUCAUGGCCCUUACGGCCAGGGCUACACAACUGCUACAAUGGUCGGUACAAAGGGUUGCUACCUAGCGAUAGGAUGCUAAUCUCAAAAAGCCGAUCGUAGUCCGGAUUGGAGUCUGCAACUCGACUCCAUGAAGUCGGAAUCGCUAGUAAUCGCGGAUCAGAAUGCCGCGGUGAAUACGUUCCCGGGCCUUGUACACACCGCCCGUCACACCAUGGGAGUUUGUUGCACCAGAAGUAGGUAGUCUAACCGCAAGGAGGACGCUUACCACGGUGUGGCCGAUGACUGGGGUGAAGUCGUAACAAGGUAGCCGUAGGGGAACCUGCGGCUGGAUCACCUCCUUA